AAGCGGGCGAAACUGCGAGUUUGAGAGACCGUGUGAAAGUCCCGCAUCAUGGGGUGGCCAGUUAAUCUAUCUCCACUGUUGCUGCUGCUGCUGCUGCUGCUACCAGCCUCCGGCAGGAGCGUCCUGGUUUCCCAGUGGCCGAGCCGCCUGUCUGUUAGAGAGGGGGACACGGUGGAGAUGGGCUGUUACCAGAACGACAGCAGCGACAACUCCAUGUACUGGUAUCGGCAGCACCCCGGGGCAGGCCUGCAGCUCAUGGUCACCUCGGUGGGUACCUCAGAGCCCAGACCUGAAGAGGGUUUCACGGAGAGGUUUGAAGUGACGAGACACAACACCAAGUCGUGCAGCCUGAAAAUACUGAGCGUGGAGCCGACUGACACUGCGGUUUAUUACUGCGCUGCUGGUGAACACAGAGACUCAAACUGCUGCCGGGCUGGGUCUAAAACCUUUAAAUUAACCCUUAAAAGCCCAUCACUCACCAAACACCAACUUAAGCAGUCUAAUGCAACCUAA